AUUGAACGCUGGCGGCAGGCCUAACACAUGCAAGUCGCGCGAGCGGCGGACGGGUGAGUAAUGUAUGGGGACUGCACGGUAGAGGGGGAUAACUACUGGAAACGGUGGCUAAUACCGCAUACUAUCGGAUAACCCAUAUGGGAUUAGCUAGUUGGUGGGGUAAAGGCUCACCAAGGCAACGAUCUCUAGCUGGUCUGAGAGGAUGAUCAGCCACACUGGGACUGAGACACGGCCCAGACUCCUACGGAGGCAGCAGUGGGGAAUAUUGCACAAUGGGCGAAAGCCUGAUGCAGCCAUGCCGCGUGUAUGAAGAAGGCCUUAGGGUUGUAAAGUACUUUUGGCAGGGAGGCGUUAUCCGCAGAAGAAGCACCGGCGAACUCCGGGCCAGCAGCCGCGGUAAUUC
rnacentral:rRNA from 1 species